CUGCUGUUCCCUUCACUCUUCCCUAUCCCCAUUUCCCCUGCAGCAAAAAGGGGAGGAUGAAAUCCCACCCCUCAGCAGUGCUUUGGCACCGGCUGAUCCAACCUGCUCCAUAGGCAGCAGCAAUCAGGAAGGGGCAGCAAAGCCCCCUCUCCUCAGAAGCCAAGGAUUGCUGGUGUGCUCUGUCACCAAAAGAUCUUCCCAUAUAAUGAGCUGCCAGCCAAAAGGAGGUGAUGCUCCUGACAGUUUGAGUACUUGGAAUCUGAGGUGAAAAUGCCCAAGCAAAGAGAUCUGUUGAGAGAGAGAGAAAAAACAGCAGCACAUUAAAAUAAGAAAAUCAGGAUUUUUGCGAAGGACACGGAUUGCCAGGGAGUAAUUU